CCGUAAACAGUGAACAUGGCGGCGGCGGCGGCACCCGGGGCCUUGGGCACGUUGCAGGCCGGCCGCGCUCGCUUGGUGGCCGCUUGCUGUGCGCGGCUCGGCCCUGGGUGGAGGCUGUCCGGCUCCUGGACGGUCCCGCGGGUCGACCCGGCGACCCGGGCUCGGGGCUGGAUACCCGCGGCCGGGGGGGCGGCCUGGCGGAGGGGCUACAGCUCUGAGUUGAAGACGGAGGACGAGCUGCGGGUGCGGUAUCUGGAGGAGGAGAACCGAGGAAUUGUGGUGCUUGGAAUAAACAGAGCUUAUGCCAAAAAUUCAUUGAGUACAAAUCUUAUAAAAAUGCUUUCAAAAGCUGUGGAUGCCUUAAAAUCUGAUAAGAAAGUACGGACCAUAAUAGUCAGAAGUGAAGUCCCAGGGAUAUUCUGUGCUGGUGCUGACCUUAAGGAAAGAGUCAAAAUGAAUUCCAGUGAAGUUGGUCCUUUUGUCUCCAAAAUAAGAGCAGUGAUUAAUGAAAUCGCUAAUCUUCCAGUGCCAACCAUUGCAGCAAUUGAUGGACUCGCUUUAGGUGGUGGACUUGAACUGGCUUUAGCAUGUGAUAUAAGAGUAGCAGCUUCUUCUGCAAAAAUGGGCCUGGUUGAAACAAAGUUGGCAAUUAUUCCUGGUGGAGGGGGCACGCAGCGACUGCCACGUGCCAUUGGGAUGUCCCUGGCCAAAGAGCUCAUCUUCUCUGCACGUGUGCUCGAUGGCCAGGCAGCCAAAGCAGUGGGCUUGAUCAGCCAUGUUCUGGAACAGAACCAGGAGGGGGACGCUGCCUAUAGAAAGGCCUUGGACCUAGCAAGAGAGUUUUUACCUCAGGGACCUGUUGCAAUGAGAGUGGCAAAAUUAGCAAUUAAUCAAGGGAUGGAGGUCGAUUUAGUAACAGGAUUAGCCAUAGAAGAAGCUUGUUAUGCUCAGACUAUUCCCACGAAAGACAGACUUGAAGGUCUUCUUGCUUUUAAAGAGAAAAGGACCCCUCGUUAUAAAGGAGAGUAGAAGAAAGAAAUCUUUAAAAUGCCAGUGUAAUAAAUAUACUUCUGGAAGUAUCUUUCAGAUUCACGUAUGCCUCAGCAUCUGGAAUCCCAGCGACCAAAGUGAAGAGCGAGUUAUCCAUAUACUGAAUUAAGGUAAUUUGCAAAUAAAGUGCUGGUCCUUGUUUUCAUCAUCCUUCAGACGUUUCAGGACCCCUUGGCUCUGUCCGUGACAUGUGCAAAUGCCACUUCCAUUCUAACUGAGUAAGAAAUAAUUAUGUUCAUGGGGAAAAAUAUUGAGUGUGCUGAGUGACUUGCCUCUCCUAACUUGGAUUUGUAGUCUGCUGCUGAUUGAACGCCAUUUAAUUUCCUAACACGUUCUGAUUAAGUCCCUGGAGUGAUUAAGUCAAUGGAGUGUAUCUGAAAGCAAAGACCUCAUCCUGUAGUCACUUCAACGUGUCUGCCCAGCUGUCUGUAUAGAUGUUUGCCUUUCCCUUGGUUUUCUCUUCAGCAGGGCAGCCUUGCUGGGGGGUGGUCCUAAUACUCCCCGUGGGUUGAAGCCCAGUGGCUGGGUGCUGCGGUGGGGGCGGCGCUCGUCCCAGAGGGAGUGCCUGCACCAGCACGUGGGCCAGCAGCUCCUUUUGUUUUCCUCCAGGGCUUGUAGUGUUUUCGAGUCCUUACUCUGAAACCACAUGAUGCAAGCUGGUAACACGGUGGAUGUAUCCAUAUGUUCAGAUGAGUUAAAGGUGACCAAGAGGGAGGAUGAUUAACCAGGCACACUUACAGUUCAGGGGAAAAACAUUUCAUGUUAUCUCAGAGCAGGAGACCUGCUCAUCUUGAGGUAAUGUAGUGCUGGUUAAUUUAUAACUUAUCUCUGAAAGAAAAAGAGGUCUCCAAGUGACACAGAUUCUGAGUCAAGAGAGGACUUGUAAUCAUGGCCAAAAGAAGACUCAUUUCCUGUGAUUCAUUUUCCGUGAUUUAAAGGGUCAUUUCAAGUUUGUGUUGUUUUCAAUAAAAAAUAGACAUGGUUUUCCUGUGUUUUUUUCCCCCUC